rnacentral:rRNA from 1 species
CCUACGGGGGGCUGCAGUGGGGAAUAUUGGACAAUGGGGGAAACCCUGAUCCAGCAAUGCCGCGUGUGUGAAGAAGGCCUGCGGGUUGUAAAGCACUUUCGGUUGGGAAGAAAAGUUUGGCGCCAAUACCGCCGAACCUUGACGUUACUGACAGAAGAAGCACCGGCUAACUCUGUGCCAGCAGCCGCGGUACUACAGACGGUGCAAGCGGUAGUCAAGAUCACUGGGCGUAUAAUGUGCGUAGGUGGUGAAAUCCCCGGGCUUAACCUGGGAACUGCAUUCGAUACUACAUGGCUAGAGGAUGGUAGAGGGAAGUGGAAUUUCCGGUGUAGCGGUGAAAUGCGUAGAUAUCGGAAGGAACACCAAUGGCGAAGGCAGCUUCCUGGACUAAUACUGACACUGAGGCACGAAAGCGUGGGUAGCAAACAGGAUUAGAUACCCGGGUAGUC